rnacentral:tRNA from 1 species
AUUUAAAUAGUUUAAAAAAAAUUUUAAUUUGUGGAAUUAAGGAUGUAAAAAAUUUACUUUAAGUU